rnacentral:rRNA from 1 species
UUCCGGUUGAUCCUGCCGGACCUGACUGCUAUCGGAUUGAUACUAAGCCAUGCGAGUCUUUGCAGUAAUGCAAGGCAUACGGCUCAGUAACACGUAGUCAACUUACCCUAUGGACGAGGAUAAUCUCGGGAAACUGAGCAUAAUACUCGAUAGAUCAUAAUGCCUGGAAUGGUUUAUGGUUAAAAUGAUUCGUCGCCAUAGGAUGGGACUGCGGCCUAUCAGCUUGUUGGUGAGGUAAUGGCCCACCAAGGCGAUUACAGGUACGGGCUCUGAGAGGAGAAGCCCGGAGAUGGGUACUGAGACAAGGACCCAGGCCCUAUGGGGCGCAGCAGGCGAGAAAACUUUGCAAUGUGCGAAAGCACGACAAGGUUAGUCCGAGUGAUUUCUGCUAAAGAGAUCUUUUGCUAGUUAUAAAACCACUAGUGAAUAAGGGGUGGGCAAGUUCUGGUGUCAGCCGCCGCGGUAAAACCAGCACCUCAAGUGGUCAGGAUGAUUAUUGGGCCUAAAGCAUCCGUAGCCGGCUCUGUAAGUUUUCGGUUAAAUCUGUACGCUCAACGUACAGGCUGCCGGGAAUACUGCAGAGCUAGGGAGUGGGAGAGGUAGACGGUACUCGGUAGGAAGUGGUAAAAUGCUUUGAUCUAUCGAUGACCACCUGUGGCGAAGGCGGUCUACCAGAACACGUCCGACGGUGAGGGAUGAAAGCUGGGGGAGCAAACCGGAUUAGAUACCCGGGUAGUCCCAGCUGUAAACGAUGCAGACUCAAUGAUGCAUUGGCUUGAUGCUAAUGCAGUGUUGCAGGGAAGCCGUUAAGUUUGCCGCCUGGGAAGUACGUACGCAAGUAUGAAACUUAAAGGAAUUGGCGGGGGAGCACCACAAGGGGUGAAGCCUGCGGUUCAAUUGGAUUCAACGCCGGG